GAUGAACGCUGGCGGCGUGCCUAAUACAUGCAAGUCGAGCGAACAGACCAUGAGCUUGCUCCUCUGACGUUAGCGGCGGACGGGUGAGUAACACGUGGAAAACCCACCUAUAAUACUGGGAUAACUUCGGAAAUCCGGAGCUAAUACCGUAGAAUAUAUUGAACCACAUGGUUCAAUAGAAAAAGACGGUUUUGCUGUCACUUCUAGAUGGUUACCCGCUUCUUUGUCUGGUUGGGAAGGUAACAGCUUACCAAGGCAACGAUGCGUGGCCGAGGGGAGGGGGUGAUCGGCCGCACGGGAAGUGAGACACGGUCAAUGGUACUACGGGAGGCAGCAGUAGGGUAUCUGACGCAAUGGGGGAGAGUUUGGCGGAGCAACGCGGCGUGAGUGACAAAGGUCUUGGGAUCGUAAAACUCUGUUAUUGGGGAAAAACAAAUGUGUAAGUAAAUAUGCACGUAUUGACGGUACCUAAUAAGAAAGCCCCGGCUAACUACGUG
rnacentral:rRNA from 1 species